rnacentral:tRNA from 1 species
AGGCGCGUAGCUCAGUGGUAGAGCACUGCCUUGACAUGGCAGGGGUCACCAGUUCAACCCUGGUCGCGCCUACCA